GCAAUUGUAGCUCAGUUGGUAGAGCCACCACGAUAUAUGCGGGAGGUCUCGAGUUCGAUCCUCGACCAGUGCA